UCUUUUGUGACGUCAAGAUGGCUACCCCUUCCCCCAGUCUCUUCUAACUGCUACCAACUGCCAAUGAUGGUUCUUGUCCUACACUAACUGGGGUGCCAAAUGUAAUGGAGGAGAGAGAGAGAGGGGAGAGAGAGAUUGGAAGGAGGGUUUACUCUUCUAUUACAGAGAGGGGCAGGUGCUAUCUUUGCCGGAGAAAUAGGCCACAGAUGUGAACACCUGGCAGAAUACCAAAUUCUUUCAUAGGAAUUUUUGGGGAUCAUGUAAGAAAACUCAAACUUUUUUCAUAUCAAAGCAUUUCUCCACUGGCAAGCUUUUUCAGAGAUAAUAGUAUAAGAAACAGUGUCACAUGUCCCUGUCAAUCAAAAUAUAGUCUUUUCUCUGCUUACUACAGCUGGGAAAACAGAGGAGCCACUUUACCAUCAAGGCAAGUGUCAAGGGUGAGCAUAGAGAGUAGCUGCCAUCCUCCAAGACCUUUCAGAAGGCUAUUAUGAGAAGAUACUACAAGAAAUUACCUGUAAAAGGACCUGCUAGCUGACCUGCAGAGUACCACAGUUGGAUCCCUUGGUCAUGGGAACAGUGGCUUACCACAAAGGGAGGACCUUAAGACUGACUAGGGAGACCUGAUCAUAUUUGUAUAGAAAGUAAGGACCUAGUAAAAAGGAUGAGAUUGAAAGUGCACAUCUUGGCUCCCAGUUCAAGAGUAAUGAAAAAACAACUCAACUUAUUCUGGUUAUCUCAAAUCUGGUUUCAUCUGACACUGGCAAGAGACCCUCCUUGGAAUAGUUCAGUCUGUGGGAGCCAACACUAACAGCAGUCAUUCUCAGAGACCAAGAGCCUUGAAAUCAUCUGAUGGAUGGUAAAGAUUUAAAGUUUAGGAACAACUGAUAGGGUGACAAAGAAUUCCAGGGUUAUGGCUAGUGAAACAUUAAAAUGACAGCCGAAGGAAUUGUCAAGCCCGAAUACAGAGACAAAUGAAAUCAAAUUUGGGAAGAUGGAUAGAGCCAUGUCAAGGGAACCAAAAAAAAAAAUGUUUGUUUGUUUGUUUGUUUGAAUAUAUAGCAUCUAGCACAGUGUCUGAGACAUAGUGUGUGUAACAAACCCUUACUGAAUAAAUGAAUAAGUGCUUA